AACGAACGCUGGCGGCAUGCCUAACACAUGCAAGUCGAACGAGACCUUCGGGUCUAGUGGCGCACGGGUGCGUAACGCGUGGGAACCUGCCCUUAGGUUCGGAAUAACUCCCCGAAAGGGGUGCUAAUACCGGAUAAUGUCUUCGGACCAAAGAUUUAUCGCCUUUGGAUGGGCCCGCGUUGGAUUAGCUAGUUGGUAGGUUAAAAGCCUACCAAGGCGACGAUCCAUAGCUGGUCUGAGAGGAUGAUCAGCCACACUGGGACUGAGACACGGCCCAGACUCCUACGGGAGGCAGCAGUGGGGAAUAUUGGACAAUGGGCGAAAGCCUGAUCCAGCAAUGCCGCGUGAGUGAUGAAGGCCUUAGGGUUGUAAAGCUCUUUUACCCGGGAUGAUAAUGACAGUACCGGGAGAAUAAGCUCCGGCUAACUCCGU
rnacentral:rRNA from 1 species